rnacentral:lncRNA from 1 species
CAAAGUUCAUUCCCAGCCCCCUGCCCUUACUAACAAUGUCCUUUUAUGGUCCUCGUUCCUUACCUGUGACGCCUGUCCUGACCCGCUUCUGAUUGGUGUUAUGAUAUGACGUACAUGUGUGACGUAUGUGUGACGUAUGUAUGGUAUAUGUCGCGCCGGAGCGGGCCGAAGCCCGGCAGUCGAGUCGCAGUCGAGUCGCAGUCGCAGUCGCAGUCGGACCGAGUGAGGGCCGCUCCCUCGCCGGUCGCUUAUAGCUUCACUUGUUCUUUUCGGCUCGUCAUCUCGAUUAAACUCAUUAUCUCGGACAUUCAAAAAUAAAAGUGAAAAGUGAAACGCUGCAUUUUAUUAACGAACUUUAUUACAAGAUAUUUGGUGCCGUGAUAACCCGGAUAACGUCGGGCAAAGACUUUUGAAAAAUUUUGCGCGUCUUCGACUCAUCUCUGGCGGACUUCUGGGCAUCUAGACAUCUCUUCACUACAAAGCAGCGGAACAAUAUGGAAGCGAGAAUGUUUAUCCUACUGCCUCUUUUGCUGACAUCUACUGCGACACGUUCUUCUUCUCACGUGCCUCUACAUGACGUUCGCCUUCCGACUGAGACCCGAACGACGUGGAAACUAGCAUCGAAACUUGAGUACCGAUUGUGUGACUUUUCGAAGCACAAUAGCUGUAAAUGUAUUUUGAAUAUGAUUAUUGGAAUUAAUCAUGAAAGCUUGUUGUCCUUUAUCUCCAUAAAUUGUUUUAAUUUCAUGUCAUUUUAUUUUUUUGUCAAUGGUUAAGACUUUUACGUCACCGUUUAAUAAAUAGUAAAUGUAAAUGUGUUUCACGGAUUUCGGGUCCAAGUCUUUACCCUCUUUGUCCCGCUACGCCGUUACAUCCCCGACUCGAAUCCUGCCCCUGGCUCAGCUGUGACGCCCCAAGACACGACCGACGCUGCAACGCUCAAUGACCUGACCCGACCGGUCAGCACCGCCUGUCCGAACAAAGACAGUCGUCCCGAUUCAACCCCGUCACCAGACGACACAAAGCUUCCUAUUGCGCACCAACCCGACAAGAUAUGCUUACGCCCGGUUUCCAGCCGGCAGGGUGUGAACACGGCGACCUCGACCGGAUGGCUCCGAUGACUGGUUCGUCAGCGCUGGCCUCGCCACCCGAGCCAGCGGCGCUGUUGACAAAUGUCAGCGCCCGGCCGGCCCCGUGACGUCCGGUGUCAGACUGACUGACACCCCAUCACUGCUGACGUCGCUGGGAGCCGCCGAACAACGAACUGACACCGGUCAUCUGACAUCAUCGGGGGGCCAUCCGUGUCAUCGCCGGUCACCACUCUUCAUCGCACGCUUCACCGUUCGGCUGGCACGCGCGCACGCCCGACGUAAGCCGAAGCAAGUCGCCGUCGCGAGGCUGCCGCUGCCGCCGCACUGCUGUAGUCGUCACUCUGCUUUGCCCUGCACAACGUCACUCGCUUUCUGCUUCCACUGGCCGGCGUUAGGCGCUCGCUGACGUAAGCCGAAACAAGUUCGCCGUCACGAUGCUGCCCGCCGUUGCCCCUCACAGCGCCACCUAGCGGUUGCGGACAAACGCCACCUAGCGUUGUGAACGAUGCGAGCGCCACCUAGCGCUGCGUGCUCUAAAGACAGACGCCAUCUAGCGAGUGAGUGCGGUGCAAGGAAACAAUAGAGUGACUGCGAGGAACAUGAUGACUGAAAGUGAAUGCGCAAUUGGAACAAACGGGUGAGACAUUUGAUUUUAGAUCCGGACUAUAAACAAAUAUCGCGGACGGUGCUAAGGUCGGACAUUUCGGAAAAAGAACUCUACUACAAGGACUACAACAAAGUGGGGACAUGGGGAAAAGUGUAUUGUUUGUGUACUGUUAUAGGAUAGUGUUACAUUUGACUGUAUUGUGUCGUAUAUUAUGCUAUGUCGUUUAUGUUGCAUUGUGUGUGUGUGUUUGUUGUGUGAUAACUAACGUGUGUUGUACGUUAUAUCAUGCAUCAUAUCGGAAGCAUUCCAAGACGAAAAUCUUCAUUUAAGAUUUUAGCUUUAUGGACCUUGCGUUGUGGUGUAACAAAGUUCAUUCCCAGCCCCCUGCCCUUACUAACAAUGUCCUUUUAUGGUCCUCGUUCCUUACCUGUGACGCCUGUCCUGACCCGCUUCUGAUUGGUGUUAUGAUAUGACGUACAUGUGUGACGUAUGUGUGACGUAUGUAUGGUAUAUGUCGCGCCGGAGCGGGCCGAAGCCCGGCAGUCGAGUCGCAGUCGAGUCGCAGUCGCAGUCGCAGUCGGACCGAGUGAGGGCCGCUCCCUCGCCGGUCGCUUAUAGCUUCACUUGUUCUUUUCGGCUCGUCAUCUCGAUUAAACUCAUUAUCUCGGACAUUCAAAAAUAAAAGUGAAAAGUGAAA